GUGCUCACUUUGGCAGCACAUAUACUAAAAUUGAUAUACAGUGAUUAGUACAGCCCCCAUGCAACAAUGAUACAUAAAUUCUUGAAGCAUUUCAUAUUAAA
rnacentral:snRNA from 1 species